AGAGUUUGAUCCUGGCUCAGGACGAACGCUGGCGGCGUGCUUAACACAUGCAAGUCGAACGGAAAGGCCCUGCUUUUGUGGGGUGCUCGAGUGGCGAACGGGUGAGUAACACGUGAGUAACCUGCCCUUGACUUUGGGAUAACUUCAGGAAACUGGGGCUAAUACCGGAUAGGAGCUCCUGCUGCAUGGUGGGGGUUGGAAAGUUUCGGCGGUUGGGGAUGGACUCGCGGCUUAUCAGCUUGUUGGUGGGGUAGUGGCUUACCAAGGCUUUGACGGGUAGCCGGCCUGAGAGGGUGACCGGCCACAUUGGGACUGAGAUACGGCCCAGACUCCUACGGGAGGCAGCAGUGGGGAAUAUUGCACAAUGGGCGGAAGCCUGAUGCAGCAACGCCGCGUGCGGGAUGACGGCCUUCGGGUUGUAAACCGCUUUCGCCUGUGACGAAGCGUGAGUGACGGUAAUGGGUAAAGAAGCACCGGCUAACUACGUGCCAGCCGCCGCGGUAAUAC
rnacentral:rRNA from 1 species